AUACUUACCAGCCCAGGGGAACUACCAUAACCAAGAAGGUGGUAUUUCUCAGGACGAGGUUCAUCCAUUGCACUCUGGGUAUGUUGAUUGUUGAGAUUUCCACAAAGGUGA
rnacentral:snRNA from 1 species